UACGAAGGGGGCUAGCGUUGCUCGGAAUCACUGGGUUUAAAGGGUGCGUAGGUGGGCAGGUAAGUCAGUGGUGAAAUCUCCGAGCUUAACUCGGAAACUGCCGUUGAUACUAUUUGUCUUGAAUAUUGUGGAGGUAAGCGGAAUAUGUCAUGUAGCGGUGAAAUGCUUAGAUAUGACAUAGAACACCAAUUGCGAAGGCAGCUUACUACACAACGAUUGACGCUGAGGCACGAAAGCGUGGGGAUCAAACAGG
rnacentral:rRNA from 1 species